CGUGAGUAACCUGCCUUGGAUGGGGAAUAACACAUCGAAAGAUGUGCUAAUACCGCAUAAUGCAGUUGGGCCGCAUGGCUCUGACUGCCAAAGAUUUAUCGCUCUGAGAUGGACUCGCGUCUGAUUAGCUGGUUGGCGGGGUAACGGCCCACCAAGGCGACGAUCAGUAGCCGGACUGAGAGGUUGACCGGCCACAUUGGGACUGAGACACGGCCCAGACUCCUACGGAAGGCAGCAG
rnacentral:rRNA from 1 species